rnacentral:rRNA from 1 species
UAUGUGAUCGUCUCUCGCAUAUCAAUAAGCGGAGGAAAAGAAACUAACAAGGAUUCCCCUAGUAACGGCGAGUGAAGCGGGAAGAGCUCAAAUUUGAAAUCUUAAAGGGUUUCCCUUUACGAAUUGUAGUUUAAAGAAGUGUUUUCUGUUGAGGUUUUGGUAAAAGUUCUUUGGAAUAGGACAUCAUAGAGGGUGAGAAUCCCGUAUUUGACCUUUACUUUCAACUUUGUGAUACACUUUCAAAGAGUCGGAUUGUUUGGGAAUGCAGUCCAAAAUGGGUGGUAAAUUUCAUCUAAAGCUAAAUAUUGGCGAGAGGCCGAUAGCGAACAAGUACCGUGAGGGAAAGAUGAAAAGAACUUUGAAAAGAGAGUUAAACAGUACGUGAAAUUGUCAAAAGGGAAGCGUUUGACACCAGUGUUGUUUUUCUGAAAAUCAAUUAAAGAACUGUUUAUGCUAAGUUGUUUAGACUUUAUCAGCUAACUGUUUAGUUUUGAGCUUUUCUUUAAUGCACUUUUCAGUUAACAAGUCAACAUCAAUUUCUUUUGCUGUAAAAAAGCUUGAGGAAGGUGGCUUGAGAUUCGUCUUAAGUGUUUAUAGCCUCUUGCCUAUGCAGUCGGAGAGAUUGAGGUCUGCAGCGUAGAUCCUUCGGGGCUAAAUGCAUUUGUGCUAAGUUAUAGCAUUUUAUAGACAACUUGUUGACUAUGAUUUGUCUUGUAGCUUACUCGCUUAUGUUAUUUUACCUACGCUUAGGAUGUUGACACACGCGCGUGCUCGAUCUAUACAUGACUCUGUGCAUAUCAAUAAGCGGAGGAAAAGGGGGCUAUUACCUACGCUUAGGAUGUUGACACACGCGCGUGCUCG